rnacentral:rRNA from 1 species
CCUACGGGAGGCAGCAGUGAGGAAUAUUGGUCAAUGGGCGGAAGCCUGAACCAGCCAAGUAGCGUGCGGGAUGAAGGCCCUACGGGUCGUAAACCGCUUUUGCACGGGGACAACACCCUCCACUUGUGGAGGUCUGCAGGUACCGUGCGAAUAAGGGCCGGCUAAUUCCGUGCCAGCAGCCGCGGUAAUACGGAAGGCCCGAGCGUUAUCCGGAUUCAUUGGGUUUAAAGGGAGCGUAGGCGGGCGUUCAAGUCAGCGGUAAAAUCGCGGGGCUCAACCGCGCCCCGCCGUUGAAACUGGGCGCCUUGAGUUCACAACAGGCAGGCGGAAUUCGUGGUGUAGCGGUGAAAUGCAUAGAUAUCACGCAGAACCCCGAUUGCGAAGGCAGCCUGCCGGGGUGCGACUGACGCUGAGGCUCGAAGGUGCGGGUAUCGAACAGGAUUAGAUACCCGGGUAGUC